rnacentral:rRNA from 1 species
AGAGUUUGAUCCUGGCUCAGACGAACGCUGGCGGCGUGCUUAACACAUGCAAGUCGAGCGAUGAAGCUUCCUUCGGGAAGUGAAUUAGCGGCGGACGGGUGAGUAACACGUGGGUAACCUGCCUCAAAGUGGGGGAUAGCCUUCCGAAAGGAAGAUUAAUACCGCAUAAUAUAGGAGAAUCGCAUGAUUUUCUUAUCAAAGAUUUAUUGCUUUGAGAUGGACCCGCGGCGCAUUAGCUAGUUGGUAAGGUAACGGCUUACCAAGGCAACGAUGCGUAGCCGACCUGAGAGGGUGAUCGGCCACAUUGGAACUGAGACACGGUCCAGACUCCUACGGGAGGCAGCAGUGGGGAAUAUUGCGCAAUGGGGGAAACCCUGACGCAGCAACGCCGCGUGGGUGAUGAAGGUCUUCGGAUUGUAAAGCCCUGUUUUCUAGGACGAUAAUGACGGUACUAGAGGAGGAAGCCACGGCUAACUACGUGCCAGCAGCCGCGGUAAUACGUAGGUGGCGAGCGUUGUCCGGAUUUACUGGGCGUAAAGGGUGCGUAGGCGGAUGUUUAAGUGGGAUGUGAAAUCCCCGGGCUUAACCUGGGGGCUGCAUUCCAAACUGGAUAUCUAGAGUGCAGGAGAGGAAAGCGGAAUUCCUAGUGUAGCGGUGAAAUGCGUAGAGAUUAGGAAGAACACCAGUGGCGAAGGCGGCUUUCUGGACUGUAACUGACGCUGAGGCACGAAAGCGUGGGUAGCAAACAGGAUUAGAUACCCUGGUAGUCCACGCCGUAAACGAUGGAUACUAGGUGUAGGGG